GGCGGCGUGCUUAACACAUGCAAGUCGAACGAAGAUGCCGGAGUGCUUGCACUUUGGCAGACUGAGUGGCGGACGGGUGAGUAACGCGUGGGUAACCUGCCUUAUACAGGGGGAUAACAGUUGGAAACGACUGCUAAUACCGCAUAAGCGCACGGUAUCGCAUGAUACAGUGUGAAAAACUCCGGUGGUAUAAGAUGGACCCGCGUCUGAUUAGCUUGUUGGUGAGGUAACGGCCCACCAAGGCGACGAUCAGUAGCCGGCCUGAGAGGGUGAACGGCCACAUUGGGACUGAGACACGGCCCAAACUCCUACGGGAGGCAGCAGUGGGGAAUAUUGCACAAUGGGGGAAACCCUGAUGCAGCGACGCCGCGUGAGUGAUGAAGUAUUUCGGUAUGUAAAACUCUAUCAGCAGGGAAGAUAAUGACGGUACCUGACUAAGAAGCACCGGCUAAAUACGUG
rnacentral:rRNA from 1 species